rnacentral:pre_miRNA from 1 species
AUACCAUCUGGACUAUCAGUCUACCGAGCAGUCUACCCGCUUGGUGGAAGAUCUUCCCUUUGUUAU